CGCGCCUGGUUUUAAAACCAAUUGAUAUUCAAUAUAUGAGCUCGCUUUUAAAGCUGAUGCUUGAUACUGCAACCCGCUUUCAACCCAAUUCCCAAGCUCCAAUACCUCAGCAGCAAGGUACUCGAGGACAGCAGAAAGACACACAGGAGCUCUAGCACCCAAUUGCUUGGCAUACUUUCCAGCCUUGAGAAACCUGGCGAUCCUCACGGCGGGAAAAUGCAACCCACCCUUCUGCGCAAGUCGCUUCUCACCCAAUUGAUAAUCCUCAUCC
rnacentral:misc_RNA from 1 species